AACGAACGCUGGCGGCAGGCCUCAUACAUGCAAGUCGAGCGGUCCUUCGGGACAGCGGCGAACGGGUUAGUAACGCGUGGGAACGUGCCCUUUAGUACGGAAUAGCCAUUGGAAACGAUGAUUAAUACCGUAUACGCCCCAAGGGGGAAAGAUUUAUCGCUAAAGGAUCGGCCCGCGUUAGAUUAGGUAGUUGGUAGGGUAACGGCCUACCAAGCCGACGAUCUAUAGCUGGUUUGAGAGGAUGAUCAGCAACACUGGGACUGAGACACGGCCCAGACUUCUACGGAAGGCAGCAGUAGGGAAUCUUGGACAAUGGGCGAAAGCCUGAUCCAGCCAUGCCGCGUGAGUGAUGAAGGCCCUAGGGUUGUAAAGCUCUUUCGCCAGGGAAGAUAAUGACGGUACCUGGUAAAGAAACCCCGGCUAACUCCG
rnacentral:rRNA from 1 species